AGGACGAACGCUGGCGGCGUGCUUAACACAUGCAAGUCGAGCGGUAAGGCCUUUCGGGGUACACGAGCGGCGAACGGGUGAGUAACACGUGGGUGAUCUGCCCUGCACUCUGGGAUAAGCCUGGGAAACUGGGUCUAAUACCGGAUAUGACCUGCUCUCGCAUGGGGGUGGGUGGAAAGAUUUAUCGGUGCAGGAUGGGCCCGCGGCCUAUCAGCUUGUUGGUGGGGUAAUGGCCUACCAAGGCGACGACGGGUAGCCGACCUGAGAGGGUGACCGGCCACACUGGGACUGAGACACGGCCCAGACUCCUACGGGAGGCAGCAGUGGGGAAUAUUGCACAAUGGGCGAAAGCCUGAUGCAGCGACGCCGCGUGAGGAUGAAGGCCUUCGGUUGUAAACCUCUUCUAGCAGGACGAAGCGCAAGUGACGGUACCUGCAGAAGAAGCACCGCUAACUACGUGCCAGCAGCCGC
rnacentral:rRNA from 1 species